rnacentral:tRNA from 1 species
GCCGGCAUGGCCAAGUGGCUAAGGCAUUGGAUUGCAAAUCCAACAUCCCCAGUUCGAAUCUGGGUGCCGGCUCCA